GGCUUGGAAGUGGAUGGUCUACACCUGUGUUUCGUGCCAGAUGUGGUCCUUCGGUGCUUGAAGCAGGAGGUGCCUGUUCGAAUCAGGCCCGAGCCA